UGACAUACAACCCCACAAGUUUUUUAGGCCUGUUAUUAAAAAAAAAACGUAAAUUUGAACUAUUAUCUUUUGAAAUUAAAAUCUAUUGUUUUUACUAAUAGGACAAGAAAAUACUUUUAAAAUGCACGCCGAUUAUAUUGGCUAUAUAAUCUAUGGCCGCACGCAGAUGCUUCAUCAAUUUUUGUCCAGGGCGGCUAUGAUGACAUACCAUAACGUUUGCUACUAACUAAUCUCCUUCAUCCUCUAAAACAUCCUCCCACUGGAGCUAUCACUAAUUUGUCGACUAAACCUAGUUUCACAUUCGUCAUCCACUCUCCAUAAUUCCUUUUAGUGAAGAAGAUUCACCUGAUCAUGUUUUGAAAGUAGUCAUUCACGUCAAUCAAAUUAAGUUUCAUGAGAUUUAACUGAAAUAUGGGUUAGAUACAAUUUUCAUGACGUCAAUUUUCAUAAAUACAGUUUCGAUAACCCUCGAUAAUUUGGGCCUCCAUAAAUAUGGGCCGAUAUUUCUAAUUUUUCGCCUCUCUCAUAGACGCGAACAGUUUUAGAAAGGAACCGAGAUAUUUUUCUCAGUAGAGAGCUUGAACACACGAAGAAACC